CCUCUCGAGCUAACGAAAACACGACGAUGAGAUGGGUCGGCUGAGGGUCCGUCAGAGGCGGUCGUCGACCAGGCGCGGCUGGAGCUACAGGUCGCACACGAAGAACAAAUGAACGCCAUUGCGAUGGACGGAGACUACCAGCAGGGAUACAGGGAGGAGCUUCACAAGUCCCAGCUGGCCGCGCUCACGGAGAGGCUGAGGGAGGAGGGCGAGGAGAGCGGAGAGGCUGAGGCAAGGCCUCGCCACGCAGAAAGACGGAGAGAUCGCAGCUCUGCAGGAGACAAUGCAGGCGGAACUCGACGACGUACGCAGCAAGCUAGAUGCUCUCCUCGCCUCGCAGGACAUCGCCCCCUACACCGCCGUGCAAGACAGCGCCCCCUACACGGACGCGCGCGGGAUGCCGGCGAGUUGGCAGACGGAGCGUGAGGAACUGAUGGAAGAACUACGCGGUCUCAAGGAGAAGCUACAGCGCACUGAGAGAGAGAAGCUGCAGCAAGAGAGUCUCCACUCACACCACGACAAGCACGAGCACACAACAACAGAGAAGGAAGGCGAGAGACAGAGAGGAGGAGAGGAGAGAGGAGGAUGAGCAGGAGAGAGAGGGGAGAGGGCGGACGUGUCGACGGAGGAGAAGACCACGCUCGCAGCAGCGUCGGCAUGGAGAGCAACACGAUGAGCUUGCUGAGGUCAGAGGUCGGCCAGCUGAGCAUGGAGAGGCUGGCGCUGCAUCGCUGCAACACGAAGCUGCUGCGCUCGUGUUAGUCGCGACUCAGCGUGAUGUCGACGUAACACAUCGCCCACGGAGGGCCUCAAUCAAUCGUUCGCCUCGCAUCGCCAUCCUGCCACGCGCAGAGCAGAUCCUAGGUCGCUGACGCCGACGGGAGGGAG